UUUCCAUACCCCCUUAUUGUUCUCUUUUGCCUGCCCUUCGGCUUGAAAGGUAUGUUGUCCUUGGCUCCGAAAUUGUUCAAUAUAAAACCGUGGUAAUGUUGCACAAUGUACUGUUAUGCUACCAUAAGUUUGUUACAAUGUGGAUAAUAUAAAGAUUUAUGUUAACAAGGUUCACAAAGCUCGCUAACUAGGGUAUCUAUUGUAACUUGUGAGUACUUGGGACAGUGUUUGAGUGAGUGUCCAUGUGCUUGCGCAGGUGCCUGAGAGCUAGGACUGCGCCAAGGGUUAACAUAAUGUGUGUUGUCUCUUCGUGUGCAGGGCAAAUAAAACAUUAUUCAACUAGCAGACCUCCAGUUGUGGCAGCGUCCUAAUUUAAAGUACACAACGCAGAACGAACCACUUAACAUAGGCAUAUAUAAAUAAUGUAUUUAACUUGUAAGGCAAGGUUGGAUUAGUUGGUCUAAACAACAUGCACCUGGAUAAUCGCGUCAUGAAUCGGGAUGGGCUCCUACAUCCUCAUAUACACAUUAUGACAUAAUAAAGAGUUUAAUCGUUCACGAAAUAAAGACAUAGAAGCAUACCCAUUUAUACAGGUUCUACACAUUCCAUUUCUCCAUGGCAAUAGAAUGUAAACAUUCUAUUUUGCCCCAAACAUCGCCUACAACUCCAUUCUAAGUGCAGCAUAUUGGACGAUUCAACAGUCAUUGAUCAUUCUCGACUUUAAGUCAUUCCUGUUAUGUCUAGAGCAUCCCGUAUAUCUAUAGCACUGCAUUUCUUCCUCAUCUUACCAUGGAUAGGGUUUGGUGCAUUCCGGAGUUCACUUAUGGUCCCACAAAGGUAAUCUUAGGAGAAAUUCAUUUUAGCAUACUGUAAAUGCCUGUGCAUAAUGUACAUAACAAAGCAUCAUUAUUUUCAUGAUCUUCAAAGGAAUUCUGUAGAAGCAGUCUUUAUUUUCAGACUCUGCAGGCCUGCUGGGAGGAAACAUAUUACAAUAAACAGAAGAAGCUCAUGGUCCACUAUCUGCUGCUCCAGAGUCAAGGCCAGGUCCCUCUCCAUGUCACCACGGAGCACAUGAGCAACUGGCUGGUGUCUCAGGGCAAAAAAUCCCUUAGGGGGAGGGUGUGGAAGGAAACCCUGGAGGAGGGAAACGACCUCGCUCGGCUGGCCUGGGAAGUAAACACUUGCCUAAAAAUGAUGAACAUAGAGCACGAGGCUUUCUGCAAGCUCCGCCGCUCCAUGCACCCCACCUCGCCAGCUGACAUGUGA